rnacentral:rRNA from 2 species
CUGGAGGAACUGCCGGUGACAAGCCGGAGGAAGGUGGGGAUGACGUCAAGUCCUCAUGGCCCUUAUGGGCUGGGCUACACACGUGCUACAAUGGCGGUGACAGUGGGACGCCAGGCUGCGAAGCCGAGCCGAUCCCCAAAAGCCGUCUCAGUUCGGAUCGCACUCUGCAACUCGGGUGCGUGAAGGUGGAAUCGCUAGUAAUCGCGGAUCAGCACGCCGCGGUGAAUACGUUCCCGGGCCUNCUGCCACGGUAGGGUCAGUGACUGGGGUGAAGUCGUAACAAGGUAGCCGUAGGGGAACCUGCGGCUGGAUCACCUCCUUUCAAG